rnacentral:tRNA from 1 species
GCCUUAGUGUAAUGGUUAGCACACUGAGCCGGUAUUUCAGAGGUCCGUGGUUCGAUCCCCGGCGAAGGCA